CUGAUGUCACGGUGUCACACUCUGAUGUCACAGUUCCAAUAAUUUGAAUAUAAACCUCAGUUGCUAAGCAGUGAGAAUAACAAUACAUAAACUGCUGAAAUACAUGCAUUUCUCUUUACAUUACUGUAAAGUAACAGUUCUCUUCUGCCACCAGGGCUUUAGGGUUCAAGAGAUUCCCAACUUGACUCUGAAUGCAUCCGAAUUGCUGAUGAACAACCUCAAUGCCCUCUAAAGCAGGCUCCACUGCGCUGUUUGAGAAACCUUCCAGAAGCGCCACCCUUGAAAUUCAAAUGUAUUGUACUUUGCGGAUGUGAAAAAAACAGUUAACCAAAGAGAGCCAAAGACAGAGAUAGCACAUGUGACUCGAUGACCCAAUCCAAGGAAGACUUUUAGUGUAACAGGUCCAGAAGGAGGCGUUAACAAUCGUAGUGCACAACAGGCGACGGCGCCAUCCGAAGACGUAACUGACUUUUUGACAAUCCGAGUUGCUUCUUCUGCCAUUUGUUCGUUCAUUUCGGGCCUUUGUCUCAGCUGGCUCUGUGCUUGUGCAACAGCUUUAACAGCUGAGCUGACCAACACAUUUCAAAGACUUGCCGAAGUAGGUCAACAUUUGCUCUAACUGCUCCCUGUGUUGGUCCAGUUUCACUUGAAACUGGUGUUUUGUGUUUUGUGGACAUAACUU